rnacentral:rRNA from 1 species
GAUGAACGCUGGCUCCAGGCUUAACACAUGCAAGUCGAGGGGAAACGCCGGGGAAGCUUGCUUCCCCGGGCGUCGACCGGCGCACGGGUGAGUAACGCGUAUCCAACCUGCCUCUGACUGAGGGAUAACCCGUCGAAAGUCGGCCUAAUACCUCAUGGUAUCGUCUGCGGGCAUCCAACGACGAUUAAAGAUUUCAUCGGUCAGGGAUGGGGAUGCGUCUGAUUAGCUUGUUGGCGGGGUAACGGCCCACCAAGGCUACGAUCAGUAGGGGUUCUGAGAGGAAGGUCCCCCACAUUGGAACUGAGACACGGUCCAAACGCCUACGGGAGGCAGCAGUGAGGAAUAUUGGUCAAUGGGCGAGAGCCUGAACCAGCCAAGUAGCGUGCAGGAAGACGGCCCUAUGGGUUGUAAACUGCUUUUAUGCGGGGAUAAAGUGAGGGACGUGUCCCUCAUUGCAGGUACCGCAUGAAUAAGGACCGGCUAAUUCCGUG